rnacentral:rRNA from 1 species
GACGGAGGAUGCAAGUGUUAUCCGGAAUCACUGGGCGUAAAGCGUCUGUAGGUGGUUUAAUAAGUCAACUGUUAAAUCUUGAGGCUCAACCUCAAAAUCGCAGUCGAAACUAUUAGGCUAGAGUAUAGUAGGGGUAAAGGGAAUUUCCAGUGGAGCGGUGAAAUGCGUAGAUAUUGGAAAGAACACCGAUGGCGAAGGCACUUUACUGGGCUAUUACUAACACUCAGAGACGAAAGCUAGGGUAGCAAAUGGG